CAUAGUGAGUGGUAGAGCUAUGAAUAAGCACAGUCUUUCAGAUGCCAAAUAACAUGCUUUUAUCAUACCACGAUUCUAUGAAAAUAUUUAAGAUAUUGUCUAAGAUCCAUAUUAAAUCAUAUACCUCAUUAUAUUACCAUAUAUAAAAUACAAGUAAGAAUCUGAGCGAGAAUACCUAUUUUUUAUUGUCUACAUCUAGAAGAUAUUAGGUUGGUGCAAAAAUAAUUGUGGUUUUUGCCAUUACUUUUGCACCAACCUAAUAUUUAUACUGCAUUGUUUCUACAAAGACCCAGUGGUUCAUAAUGUAACACUAAAAUUAAUAUUAUCAACAUAGAUUUGAAGUGUUACCUCCAAAUGUAUAAAAUAUCAACCAUCAUCACGUGCUUUGUAAAUAUUCCAACUACACAAUCCUAGCCCACUAAAUUUGAGCCAUAGGCAUUCUGCAUAGAAGCAGGUUAUAAAAUACUUAAUCUUUUUUACAAGAAACAGAAGACCUAAUAAAGGUGUUCUCAGGAAACUUUACUGUACAAGAAACAGAACACCUUAUAAAGAUGUUCUCAGGAACAUCUACUGUACACUUCUACCAUCUUCCUUAACAAGGCCAAUCACAGUUUAAUGCCGAAUUCUAGCUUUUACAGUUUAGCAGAGACACUGAAAUAGGAUUGAGAUCGAUUGAAUAAGCUUUUCCUUAAACAGUCAGAGAAAAAUACCUAAAAGUUGGCUUACCAGUCAUUUAAGAAAAAGCAAGUUAUUUUAUUUGUGCACAGCAAAUUACUUUUAAAAUUAUUUGCUCAGGAUUCCUAGAUAAACCGAUGGAUUUCAAGCUCAGAUUAUAAGGGAAUGAAAGAAUAAUCAGCAAAUUCAUAAAUACUCCCCCCAUGGUUAAAAAAAAAAGCACCCUUUGUUGAAGAUCUUAUUUCUUGACUGUAAUAGCAAUAUACACAAUAGUGCUAUUAUCUAUAUCCCAGCUAUGAAAUAUAGGAAGAAAGCUACAAUAAAUUUAUUAAAAAUAUAAUUUUUACACAUAGAUGUUAUUGGUCUUUAUUGAAGAAGAACGUCUUCAUUAAAAUAAAGAAUUUAACAAAUAAAUUCAAUUGAAACCCUAAUAAAUGAAUCUACUUGCUUUCUUCACUAUUACAGGUAAUAGCUACUUAUUUAUCUCUACUCAUCCAUGUACCUAUUCCUGAGUUCUGGUUUUUGAGUCAAACAGGAAAUGAAGAAGCCAUUUUGCCAAAGCAAGAGAAACUUCUAUAUGUCUCUAGUAAAUUUUCUAGGCAACUGAGUUUUAGCAUUAGUGAAAAGGAAUUUCCAUUAGCUCAAUAUAGAUACAUAAAAAUUCCAGGUUGAAAUUUGACAUUCUUUCUUUCAAUACUCUGACCUUUAAGAAACUUUUCCUGACUUACAUAGUCUCUGCUUAUUCCUUAUUCUGCAAUCCCUAUGGAUUUAUACUUUUAUGUACACUAUUAAUUUGCAUUAUUUUGAUGUGUUUCUCCUAUUGCUAUUAAGUCACCAAUGGCUAAAUAUGUGUUCUCUCUCCAACUAUAAAAACCUCCCCUACUUUUAUUUUUCAUACUAUUGAACACAGAGCUAUGACAAGGAAGGAACACUUUGAAUGUUAACAUCAUCACUCUACAGGAAGAUACUGUUUGCUACCAUCAAAACGACCAAGAGUAGAUAAUUUCAUUUGUACUGAGAGUCUAUACUUUAGCAGAAAUUUCUUUAGAAUACAUAUAUACCUUGUAAUGCCAGGCUCCACUCCCCUAUAGCAUAUAAUUAAUGAUCUUUUUUAUUAUUGAUAAACUUUAUCAGGAAAAUACUUUAUCAUUUACCAAAAUUCAAAUAGCUAUCUUGGUGGCAAAUCCUAUUAAGGUUUUCUGAAGAAGAUUUCUUAUGUCAAAUUACCUUAGAAAAAAGGAGAAGCAUGAGAAUUCAUUAUGUUAAGAAGGUUGCCGCCAAGAGAAGUUAAGUUGCAUUUAGAAACUAGGAAGCCAGAGGCUUCUGAUUCAUGUUUAAAACACAUAGAAAAAUGCCUACAGCAAAUAAAAUAUUCCUUAAAGUAACCCCAUUUAAUAAUUUAAUCCAAUAUAAGUCAUCAGCGAUUGUCCAUGGAAGAAUAGGCCUCUACUACUUGCUCAGUUUUUAAUAGCUAUAUGGAAAUAUAAUUGACAUACUUUACAAUUCACACAUGUAAGGGUACAAUUCAAUGGACGUUAGUAUGUUUAGAUAUAUGCAACCUUUACUGCAGUCAAUUUUAGAAUAUUUUCAUCACCUCAAUAUAAAACCUGUACUCUUUAGCUAUCAUCCCCUAGUCCUCCUCCCCGCCACCCAUUCCUUUUAUCUUUAAGAACACCAUUAUCUGCUUUCUAACUCUAUAGAUUUUCCUAUUCUUGACUUUCAAAUGACUGGAGUCAUAUAAUAAUGGACUCUGCGACUGACUUCUUCCACUUAGCAUAAUGUUUCCAAGGUUCAUCAAAGUAACAUAUAUCAGUACUUGAUUCCUUUUUAUGGCUAACUAAUAUUCCAUUACAUGAAUAUACCAUAUUUCACUUAGCCAGUCAUCCAUUGAUAGACACUUGAGUGGUUUUCAACUUUUGGCUAUUAUGAAUAGUGUUGCUAUAAACAUUUCAUACAGGUUUCUGUGUAGACAUAUGUUUUUAUUUCUUUGGGGUAUAUAUCAAGAGUGGUAUUUCUGGGUCAUAUGGUAACUCUAUGUUUGUUUAAGGAACUGUCAGACUGUUCUCCAAAGUGGUCCCAUUUUACAUUCCCACCAGCAACGUAAGAGGGUAUCAAUCUGUCCACAUCAUCACCAACAUUUAUCAUUGUCUGACUUUUUUAACUAGCCAUCCUAGUGUGUAUAAGAUGGUAUCUCUUGAUGAUUUUCAUUUGCAUUUCCCUGAUGACUAAUGAUGUUAAACAUCUUUUCAUGUGCUUAUUGGCCAUUCGGGUAUUUCCCCGGAGAAAUGUCUUUUGCAUUCUUUGCUGAUGUUUUUAAUUUGCUUGUCUUUUUAUUAUUGAGUUGAAAUUCUUUAUAUAUUCCAGAUACAAAGCCCUUAUCAGACAUAUGAUUUAAAACUUUUCUCCUAUUCUGUGGUUGUCUUUUCACUUUUCUGAUCCCUUUCUUAAUAACUAAGCCCUGAUUCCUUAGAAAUACUUUCACAUUCACUCUGGAAGCCACGUUGAUUUCUAGACACUCCUACCAGUUGUAGAUUCCAAGCUACAACCACCUGGAUGUGUUUUAUUUCAUCAAGCACAGAUAAGCAGAUCAUCACAAGUAGGAUCUGAAUUUUAUUAUCAGCUGUUUUCCUUCCUGUAGUUUUCCAAAAGUAUCAUGAUAAAAAUUCCCCCCUAAAAAGAAAAUGUAGAGCUAAUUUAGAACUUCUAGAGAAUAUCUAAUUCAUUUCCUUAUUUUUCUCCAUCUAUCUGAGAAAGAGAUCUGUCUCUCCCUUUGUCUUAUCACUUGUUUAAAUUCCCCAGAAGAGACUCCACUCUUGUGCUUACCCUUCGGCUUUGCCAUAAAGAAGGACAUAACUAGUAACAGACACUUUGGCUGUUUAAAACCAUUAUUUUGAGUUCUCCAAACACAGAUUUUAGAAAUACUCUUCAAACAACAAAUUCUUUGAGAAAAUAUCUAUUCUGGAAUUCUGCUUUGUUCUAAGUCUAACAAGUCAGCAUUUCUACUGAUGACUCUAUUAUUGCCAGAACUGUUUCAUUUAUUGCAAAUUGCAUAAGGCAGUUUUGGCUCUCAAGAUUUUAGACCAGAUGCAAGUUUCAAAGAAUUUUUUUUCUGAAGAUGUGUUAGCUAUUCUGUGAUUUGAGAGUCCAAAUAAAUUUGGAUAUUUCCUACCCUCCAAACUUAAAACCUGAAUAAUUGCCUCAAACAGUAGUUUUGAAAUUCUCCUGAUUCGAUGCUGGUUGGCAUAUUUCUAAGUGGAGUGAUCAGAGUAGAUAUCUUGAAAUGUUCAUUAUUGUAUUCUGGAACCAAUGAAAAACUUAUCCCUUACACAUAAUUAUCAUUACUAUCUACAUAGAGUUUUGGCUCUAGUUAUCAAUUGUUUUAAGACAUGGUCUUAUAUUUAGGUGAUGUGAUGCUAUGCUAUUUUCUCUUUUACGUGACUCUACUCCUUGCUGCAUGCUGUAUCUCUUCCAUUCAUUCUGUGCCUUUAGAAAUCACUGGAAACCCUCAAGAUAAAGCCUGAACUUACAGAGAAGAACAAAAAGACUUCUGAUUUGCAGCAAUAUCGUAAAUAAGUGAUGUUGAAAGAAAUUACAUAAACAGUUAUAGAUCUCACUGGAUACAGAACUUCUUUGGAAUGAAUAUUAUCAGUCCUGUAUUCCAGAAAACAACAAUGUACAAGGUAAACUUUGUGUCAUAACCUCCUAAGAAUCAAAUUUCUUUAAAAAUGCAGAGUUAAUCUGGUCAUUAAUGUUCAUUCAACAAAUACUGGGCAAUAUUUGUCCAGUAUUCAACAAAUACUGGACAAAACAUCAUGCUAGAUAACAAGAGAAAAAAAAGUUAGAUGAAAGACAUCUAUUCCUGUUCCCCAAGGAGAUAAUAAUCUAGCUGAGAAAAUAAAGUAAGCAUCAGCGACAACGUUAGUCUUAGGCAAAAUAUGGUAAGUACUAUAACAGAUAUAAAGUGCUUCGGGUUUUAGAGUAAGAAGUAUCAUUCCCUUGUCAGAGCCAAGAAAGCUUCAUGGAGGUGCUCAAACACUGGCUCAAAUGCAAUAUGUAGCUAGAACAAUUUUUAAGCUCUGAACAUUUUCAUAAACUAGGUAGAGGAGGGAAAAUGAUUUCCAUAAGUGUACUACAUUAUGAGUGUACUCACACUGCCUUUCUAUGACCUAAACACUGAGCCUUAAAUUAGGGACCCACAAACUUUUUCUGAAAAGGGCCAGAUAGUAAAUAUUUUGGGCAUUGCAGGCCAUAUGUUCUCUGUUGCAAUUACUGCACUAUGCCAAAGACAAUAUAUAAACAAAUGAGCGCGACCAUGUCCCAAUGGUAAAACUUUACUUAUGGACACUGAAAUCUGAAUUUCAUAUAAUUUUUACAUGAAAAAAAGUAUAUUUUUUCAACCACUUAAAAAUGUAAAAACAUUGCUUAGCUCACAGGCUUCCAAAAAAAAAUAAAACAGGUUAUAGGCUGGAUUUAGCCUGCAGGCUGUAGGUAGACAGUCCCUGUUAUGCUUUAGAAUGUUAGCUUCGCAACCCAGCUAAACUUUUCUUUGUAAUUUUCUAUCUACCACACCUUCCUCAGACUGCAUCUUUCCAAAAUAAUCUUUAUAGAACAUCCAUAGGGGAAAAAAAAACUCUUCCCUUCCUAUACACGUUUGUAGCUACACUUUAAGACAUUUCAGCUCUUUUCUCAUUUUCUUGGAAUGAAUCAACAAAUAUGUAUAUCAUAUGUGCUAUAUUAUAUUUCAUAGUUUUCUACAAGUGCAGAGGUACCAGUUUUGUUUGGAUUUUAUACUCCAAUGCCCUUCCAGGUGAUAAUAUUUUACUGAAUUUUUUAAAGCAAUAACAACGUAUGGGUCAAAGACAAUGAAUAUUUAAUAUAGAGGCACAGGAGGAGAUGAAGCAUAAAUUAUGUAUUUUAUCCUAAAGGGGAAUUUUGAAAUAAUUUUCUAACAUGAAUGCUCCACCUACUAGUAUUCAAGAGCCUAUUCUUGUGAUCUUCACGAAAGGACAUUUGCAGGAUGCACACCGGGAAUCUUAUUUCUAUGUUGUCUCAUUAAAUCUCAUUUGAUCUACACUUUCACCCUGUGGAAGAUAUGUUAUAUCAUUUCCAUUUUUAAAAGUUUGAAGAGAUUUGCUGUUCACAUCUCCUGAUCCGAAGUUAAGCUUCUCCUGGGUAAAGCAGAGAUGGAGUUGUAGACAAAAAUUGUGUGUGUGUGUAUGUUUCUGUGAGUUUUCUUAAUGUUUCUUAACUGAUUUUAGUGAGCCUCUUUAGCAAACCUGGACAUCAAACAUGUAUUUCUUUAUAAACCCUUUAAGUGAAGUAUAAAAAUCCAUCCAGAAAAGUUAUUAAUCCUAAGUGAACAGCUUAAUGAAAAGCAUUUAACAUGUUCAUGUGACAUGUGCAGAUCAAGAAACAGAACAUCAACAGCAUCCCAGAAAAUCCCUCUCUAGUCCCCCACAAUCUCUACCCCAUCUAUCCUCUCCACCAAACAAAUAUCUUUCAUAUCAACUUCUGUUCUGUUUUGACAUUAUUUAAAGCUAUGCAUCAACACCAUAUCCUUCUGCCCAGUGCUAUCAUCUCAACUAAAAUGUCUUUAUAGCUUUAUGCCUUUUGUGACACAGCAUAUUAAAAUUAUUAAUAGUAACUUGUCCUCCAGUAAGAAAAUUCUGGUUACAUUACUUACUAGUUUUGUCACUAUGAACAAGUUACUUAACCCCUCUAAGGCUCAGUGGUUUCCUCAGUCAUAAAAUUUAGACAAUACUGGUAUCUAUCUUUGUGAGAUUAUCAUGGGGAAAAAUGAUAAAAUAUACGUAAACUUGCUAACACUCUGCUCGUUAUCUAGUAAGAAAACAAUACAUAAUAUUUAUCAUUAUAAUUUCAGUAUUUACUAGUGUGGCAUGAUUAUAGGCAGUCAAUAAAUAUUUGAGUCCCUAUCCUGGGCUCUGGGUAACUCAGCUUGUAUAAACUACAUAAAUCUCUACCUAUACAUAACCCAAUUCCCUCUCUAAUUUUAAAUACAAUCAAGAUAAUCCUAAAUCUAAAACAACUGUUAGUAACUCUUCAUUAUUUCUAAAAUCAAAUUCACAAUAUAUGCAUAUUUGUGUGUAUAACUCUCCUAAAAUGAAAUACUUUCCACCUGGUUUCUCCUCAAAAUCUAUCUGUUAAGACCCAUUCCAAAUACUGCCUCCCAUAGUACAUCUUUACUUAAUCUGAUUCCAGGUAAUCUCUGAAGGGCCAGGUUCUGUUACUUUCCUGAAGCCCUUCCAUUGUCUCUCUUGGACAAGAGAAAUACAUGAGUGACCACACUGCACUUUCUAUAGGACAGUCUCCCUGAGCACAGGAACUGUUGUCUAGAUCACUUACAGCCAGCCCAGCAUUAUAUUUUACAUAUAAUAACAAUAAUAUACUAAAAAUCAUGCUAUCAGACAAGUAUGUAGAAAUUUAUACUUUAAUUCUUUUAUCAACCUUCAAAACAUGAGAGCUGCAUAAUAUAAUUAUUCUCAGUUUGCAAUUGUUUAAUUUGACAAACACAGAUAUACCACUUACUACGCCCCAGCAGGACUGGCAUGCUUUGCAUAGUAUAACUCACUUAAUCCUACUGGGUGAUAUAGGCAUUAUCAUUGUCCUCAUUUUACAGAUAAGGAGAAUAAGACAAAAUAGUUGAACAAGUAGCCCAAAGUCACCCAGAUAGUAAAACAAAUAAGUGAGGCUCAUCCUCAGGCAGGCCACCUAACUACCAUGCCACCAUGUACUGCAGCCUGCAUCAUGACGGGCCACCAAUAAGUAGGUGAAGAAAUUGAUUGAAGAUAGACUUACAAUUAAAGCUUUGGUCUAUAAUUAAAUCAGUGUGUAAAAAAUGGAUUUUCUAACUAUGGGGGUGGGGGAGAUUGAUGUUCCUCUUAUGCCUCAAUCUCUUCAUCACCUGCUUCCUUUUCAGCUAAGCACAGUGUACUAGAGAGCUUAGCUCAUCCAUAGGGCUUGUUGCAGGCACAACAAGGAAUCACUGUGGGUUUUCAUGUCCUAGAAGUAGAUGUAGCUAAAAAGCAUUAAUAUGUUUUUGCAAAAAAAGAUUAACAAAUUCUUGUUUUCAAAAAUCAAAGAACUUAAAUUAUAGUAGGAUAAUCUACUUUCAUAAUCAGUAUUAACUUUUUAGAUCAGUAUUAACUUGUUCAAUGACCAGGCAUUUCUUAUGUGGAUUUGCUUUUCUUAUCUUCAAUGCAUGUUUAUUAAAUAUCUGCUCUGUGCAUUGCACUAUCCUAAGUUUCAGAGAUACUAAAAUAUUAAGACAUUAUUUCAAAUGUUUUAUCAUUUAGUUUUCUCUUUUAAGAAGUAUCUUUUUUCCUUCUUUAACUGGUGGUCUUAAUUGAGAUAACAUCUACAGAGCAUUUUCUAUUUCUUGGAAAGCAGGUGACACCUUAUAAAGUUUUAUGCAAGCAUUAUGGUUAACAUAUGGCAAAUUAUUCUAGGCAAAUGCUGUUUAUAGAUCUUUCAAACGUUUUUCACUUAGUUUAAAUUUGUAUUGAUCUAAUUGCAAUUCUUACACUUCUUAAGGAAAAAACUAAUUUUUUUUCUCUCAGGUAAAAUGAGUAAAACACCCAGAGAAUACUUAGCAGUCUGGGAAGAAUAUUUUAAAGAUUCUAUCCCUAUUUGCCUCUUCCCUCUAACUAGCAUGAACACAUAUUCCUUACAUGGUACAUUUGUUCCAUUCCAUGGGUUAGAAUGUUCUAUUCGAAUCUGCAGGUGACCUCUCUGGGCCUUAUUCUUGUAUCUGGAAACAUAGGCAGUUAUGGCUGGCCUCAUGUCCCCUUAAAGGCCAAAGUUGAACACUACAUUAUCUGGGCAGAAAACACCUUAUUCUUAUUCCUCAACAGUUCUAACAACUCACAGCCCUUCUCAGUCCCUUUAUGAACACAGAUGUCGUUUUAAUGGGGGGGAGAGCUGAAGUGACAAGAAGGUGACCUGUGGGUGAACCCAGGAGCAGGUGAGGCCUGUCAGUUUUUAAUUUGAAACUGGUGUCAGGCCUGAGGAAUGGCUGGUAUAAUCACAUUUGUAACUGAUCUCCUAUAAACUCUGCAAACAUUCAAGGGAUGGCUGUUGUGAGCAAUAUGAAAUUAACAAUUCAUGUGCAGGUCUCUGGGCACCUAACUAAAUCAAAUGUAUCUUUGAAAACUGUAUAAAUACUGCAUGUUUUCCAGAUGACAAGAUUGGCAUAACUAAAAAGCACUGAUUGUACCCUUAAUGAAAGAUUUGUUUUUGGCAUCAAUUUAUAAAGACAUAAUAUUUUUAAAAGACAAUUACCAUUUCAAGGCAUAGUUUAUCACAUAGUCCAAGCACAAAAGGCCUAAAAUUAAACUCAAUGCUACCAUCACAUAACAUUCAUCUUCAAAAGUUAUGCGCUAAUGUAUACUUUCACAGAAUGUUUUCUGCUUAAAAUAUUUUCUAUCCAGUCCCUUAAGAUUUCAUAUAGCAAAAAUUCACUUUAACUUUAGAAGUAUUGCUAUUCAAUAAAUAUGCCUUAGGCACAACUUCUAAACUUUACAAUUGAUAGAAAAUUAUAUUAACCUGGAACUUGCCUACAAAAGUAAAAUUCAAAUGUUCUGUAGCAUUAUAACGGUGUCUCUACCAAACCAAGAAGAGUAUUUCAAAGCUCUACAAGUUAGAACACUUCUACAGGUUUAGAAAAUGAAGUGACAUUUAGUAUCUAGCAAUAGCGGUUGACUAUUAGAAGAAGAUUGCUUUGGGACACGAGAUUUGUCACUUUUCUUCCACAGAUUUAGGAGGAGAAGUAGUAAAAAUAAUCACUGGUAUUUUUAGUGAUUAUUUGCUGAGUACUGUCCUAAGCACUUUACAUGUACUGACUCUUCGAGUUUUCACAACCACGUUCUGAGAAAGAUCUGCUUAUUAUCCACAUUUUACAGAUCAAGAAACCUGAGCCGCAACAAGUUUAUGUAGCUUACUAAACCAAUCAAUAGUGGGCUCAGGAUUUGAACUCACAUCUGAUUUCAAAAACCCUCUCUCUUAACCAUUCUUUAUCACCCCCUGGGACAUAUCAAUUUUGUCACCUCACUGCUACUGUGACACUGAAGGACAUGAACAUGUGGACUACAUUAAAUUAUUUUCAACUAAAGGACAAGUGAGAUAGACUGACCAUGAUGUGUUUCCUGUUGGCAAAACAAUGGACUGUUCUUACUGCAUCUCCUUAGAACUCGGUCUUCUUAAGAACCAUUUCAGGUGCUAUCAUUCCCUAAAUUUUAGACAUAUGGAAUUUCUACACUUUGAAGUGGCCAGUCCUAUAUUAUUUCUUCUGCUGAAGCUAUUCACAUGUCUGAUAGAAGAAAACAUUGCAUAAGGAAAAGAGCUUAGACUGUGAAUUCAGAGAACUUGGAUAUGAAUCCCAGAUCUGCAACUUACCAUCUAGGCGAACUUGCUCAAAUGACUCAGCCUUACUGAACCUUGGUUUCUUUAUCCCUAUGAUGGUUUCAGGUUCUAACUGAGGUCUGAGGGAAGUCAGUGGGUGAGUGGCAGGUAGCUGGAAAAACACUCGAGGAAUCGUAGACAGUUUCAACAUGGCUUGACUUUCUCUCUGGGCGUGAGCUAGCCUUGUUGCGAGUGAGCCAUAGGCGCAAGCCGUAUGUACAGCAUCGGUAAGAUAGUUAUACCUUUUACAGACAACACCAGCUCUGAGCCAGCCACGAGCUCACAUGAGUGGUUACCUAAUGUGCCUCAGGUGGAGUGGUUACAUAAUGAGUAGAGUUGUGCACCUGCACUUCAAAUUCACUGAGUCAUGCCGGACCGGAUGUCUGCCUCAGCUGGUUCUUGACUGCAGCACAUCCACUUUCCUUACAGAUGGUAAAAAAAAAAAAAAAAAAAAAAAAAAAAAAGUUACUGGCAAGUAUGUUCUUAGAGGGUCAUUGUGAGACUCAGAUGAGACAGUGUAAAUAAAAGUACUUUGUAGAUAGGGAUAUACAGGGGUUAGCCCCAAAUAAAUAACUUACUUGAGCUAAUUGGUAUCACUUAGAGACCAGAUCAAGAGACAAUAUAACCUCAGAUUUCUUUCUUAUCACCCUUUUCUUUCAUAGCAGGGAGGCUUUAUAUAACGAAUACCCUCCUCUUUUCCUAAGCAAUGUGAGUAAAUAUUAAUGGUGGCCCUUCCUUAAGAUUUCAAUAGGAAUAGAUUCAGUAACAAAAUAAAAACAUUCACGUGCUAAUGAGUUUCCAGUGUCUCAAGUCCAAUGUCUCGAGGGCUUUCACGUGUGCUAUUUCUCUCCUUGGAUCACCAUUAAUGCACCUUCUUCACCUGUGUAUGCUUACAUACCCCUCUAGAGUCAAUUUAAGUCACUCUCUCUUAAGUCUUCUCUGAAUCCCCAUAUAGAUCUAAAUUCUAUUUCUCCUAUCAUCCAAUAGCAUCUGUUUUCUGCUUCUAUUGCACUCAGAACAUUGUAUUUUAACUACAUACCUGACUUUCUCCCAGCUUGAGUGCAAGACUUUAGAAGGCAGAGAACGUAGCUGAAUAUAUUUCUCUAUGCCUAGUAUCUAACACAGUGUCUGGCAUAGAGUAGAGGCUCAAUAAAGGAUUGCUGACUGUAGACUGGGAUCCAUGGUUUAUAGCCUAACAGACAUGAGAAAUGAACUUUGAAAAUAAAGUAAUUCUAUAAAUAAAAGGCAACUCAGGUGGGCAAUACAUUAAACUAAUACAUAAUAGGAGGAACAGAUAAGCAAUUUGUGGGAAACUAUUCAGUAACAAGCAAAGUAGAAGAAAAGAUGUAUUUCGAAUAUGAAGUAUUUUGAAAAUCAAUUAAAAUAAUUUAGACUUAAUACAGUAGGUUAUUUACUUACUAAUCAAUCAAUGUAUUCACUCAUUCAACAAACAUUUUUGAGUGCCUGCCAUGUGCCAUUUACUAAGUCACAAAAAUGAGUAGGCUAUGGUUCCCCCUUCCUUGAAGAGUUUAUAAUACUGUAAUUUCAUAAGAAGCAUUUGUGGAGAACCCCACAGCAUAAAAUUGGGAUAGUAGUCUGGAGGCUAAGUGUUUAUAAACCACAAAGCUAGAUAGGUAGCUGGAGGUUACACAAGCCAACUAAAUCAGUAGAGCACAUUCACUCUUCCCUCUGUCUCCACCAUAAUUAUCAGACAAAGGUCUAGGUCCCUGGCUCUUUGAUCUCAGUUAAAUUGCCUCAGCAUAGUGGAAAUUCCCAGGAGACCUGUUCACACAGCAGUGCAGCUCUGGCAUCAACAAAUUCCAUGCACAGAACUUCCUCUUCACACGACGUCUCACAAAGCCUUUUCUUCACUCUUCCUUUCUCUUCUUUACCUCUACAAUCCCUUUUUCCCUGUAUUGGUUUGCCAGAUAUGUAUUAGUUUGAAAGUGCCACAGACUGGGUAUUUAUUUUUCUCAUAGUUCAGGAGUCUGGAAUCUGAAAUCAAUUUAUCACAGGGUGGGUUUUUCCUCAGGGCUCUCUCCUAGGCGGUAGAUGGCUGUCUUCUUCCUGUGUCUUGACAUGGUCUUCCCUUUGUGUGCAUGCGGCAUGCUGGACCUGGUACUCCAAUAGGGAUGACACCAUGUUCAAGAAGCUGAAGAAGAGACCCAGAGCCAGGAAACAAGACACGGCGUUUAUUGAGGGAAGCAUACAUGCAGAGUGGCCCAGGCAGAACUGCCGUGGCCUGCAGAAAGUAUGCCAUUUAUAAGGCAUUUUUCACUCCCCCUAACAACCUCCACCUGGCAACCUUUGUUUAACCCAACACAAAGGGCCUCAGUUGCCUGUACAUCCCACGUUCCAUGGGACUGGAUGUAGGCUCAGAUGUUCUUCACAGAUAAGGAAUGAAUCUCUGGGCUGGCCACUCUCGGAUUCCUUAGCUUGGAACUGUGAACACAUACAUACUCAGGUGCAUCUGCCAUACGGAGUCAUUUUCAGGGUAUGCUUAAGUUCAGUUAUUGCUGUCAGGUAUAUCUACCAUACAUGUGCUUUUUGUCCUAAUCUCUUCUUAUAAGGACACCAGCCAUAUUGGAUUAGGGCCCAUGCUAAUGACCCCAUGUUAACUUAAUUAAAACCCCAUCUUCAAAUACAGUCACACUCUGAGGGACUGGAGGUUAGGAUUUCAACAUGUGAAUUUGGAGGAGUCAGGAUUCAGCCUGUAACUAUCACUGUCCCAUCUCUUCCUAGCAUCAAGUGAUUUUAAAAACUGCAGCCACGGUGCCACUUCCAUCUCUGACUGAGCGUGAAUCUACAAUCCCAGCUCUAUAGAGUUUAGAAUAAUGAGUUACUUAAAUUAGCUGCACUUUUGGAGAGUCUCCAGAAAUUUCAAAGGAAAAAAAAGCCACUGGUACUGGAUUUCAUAUCCAGAGAUUUGAUUUAAUUGGUUCAGGUUGUAGUCUGGCCAUGGGGAUUGUUAAAAGCUCCCCAAAGGGCUCAAAUAUAUAGUCAGGGACAAGAACCAGAGGAAGGACUACUUGAGUUAAGGGUGGUAGGGAUAUUCAAAUAUAAAUGGGGUGACUCAGUGAGUUCAGAUGAGGAAGUUAUUUAAAAAUUUUUUAUUAUACAACACACUGAAAAAAAAAAUCAAGGCUUGAUUGACUUUCUUGCCUCUAAAGAUGUUUCCCAUGACUGGUGCUGACUUGAUCAUUUACUAGUAGUAAGUUAACCAGUAAAUGAUCAAAGAAUAACUGCCAAUAAGGACCCCUGUGACAGCCAAAGCUCUAGCAGUAUUUUCUGCCUUUAAGAACCCAAAGCUUGAGUGGAUGGAGAAGGGGAAACUAAAUCCACUUUCAUGGUCUCCACCACUUCAGAGAAAUACCAAUGACAAACCCAAAAUAAAUGAUUUUGAGUGAGUUCUUUUUUACAUUUUCUAAUUCCUGAAAGUGUUGUUUUAAUAAAUAUCAUAAAGCUAACUUAAGAAGGAAACUUUGGAACUCUGUUGCAAUUUAUUAAAAACUGGGUUUACAACUGAUCAUUUACACUGAACUCCCAUUGUGUCCUCAAUUUAGAUAAUGCACAUGUAUGGCUAGUUUUCCCAAUCAGCAGAUCCUUGUGACGCAUGGCCCUGAUGCUAUAUUUGAGUUUAGAGAAAGAAAAUACAUACUUUAUUGCAAAAGAAAUUUCAAACUUAAAAAAUUAACUACAAAAACUAAAAUGCCUGGCUUCUAGAGAAUCUGACUUUGAAAUAAUAGUGGAGUUUAGUUUAAAACUUCUCAUUUUAUUAUUCAGACAAUUGAAGUCAAAGUAGAGAUUAGAGAUGUAGAGGAAGAAGACUUAUAGAAAAGAAAAUCUCUCUUUUACUUAAGCUAAGUGUCUUAGUCCAUUUUGUGUUGUUAUAAAGGAAUACCUGAGGCUGGGUAUAAAGAAAAGAGGUUUAUUUGCCCCAUGGUUCUGCGGGCUGUACAAGAAGCAUGGUAUCAGCACCUGCUUCUCGUGAGGGCCUUGGAAAUCUUCCACUCAUGAUGGAAGGUGGAAGGAAGCCAGGAUCACUCACGUGGCAAGAGAGGAGGAAAGAGAGAGGAGAUGUGCCAGCCUCUUUUUAACAAUCAGUUCUCACAGGAACUAAUAGAGCAAGAACUCACUCAUUACAGCAAGGACAGCACCCACCUUUCUGAGAGUUCCACCCUCAUUAACCAAACACCUCCCACCAGGAUGAAAUUUCAACAUGAGAUUCAGAGGGGACAAAUAUUCAAACUAUAUCACUCAGUUUCAAAUAAUUAUACUUCAAAAAUACCAAGCAAUGUUUGAAAGUCUUGAAAAGUACCUUUUUGAGCAGUUUUUCUAAAACUUCAAAUUUUAUGGCUGUAGUGCUGUAAUUACAAAAGCUAUGACACCAUACUUCAUUUGAAUGUAAUUCAUUUUUCUUCUUUAAAAAAACUUAGAGAAAUAUUUCUGACUUCUGAAUUCUAUAUGCUUCUUCCUUAUAUUACAUAUGAAUUGCGAUUCUCAAACACGAUCUUCUUCACUGGUAAUUUUCAUUUUCUGUUUCAUUUACUUCUGUAUUUCUCCACACAUGCAUACAUACACACUCACUGUUUAAUGAAAUGGGAAUGAUGUCUACACUCUGGUAGAAAUCCACUGACACAAGCCAAUGAGGUCAAUCCUCAACUACCAAACUAGUUUUGCUCCAAGAUCCAUGUGUGAUAUGCUUAUAACUUGAAAAAUAUUUUCCUCCAUAAAGAAUUACAAUUAGUGGCUGUAAUUGUAAUUAUACAACAAAGGCCAGUCAACAAAAAACAUGACAGAUACCUGUACUUUACUUACUAUAUAUUAGCAUACUAGUGUACACUCAGUUGGUAUACAGUGGUGUCUAGGGCAAGGCUAUACAAGAGAAAGGAAGAAGGGAUUUGCUUCCUCUUUCCGUGCUUUCAAAAUCACCCACCUAUUCUCUCUCUCAGUCAAAACCCACAUCUGUCAGUGUAGUCUACCUUAUUUAAAAAGCAUAGGUUACUUCCCUUCAUCCUCUCAACACUAUAAUAAGGUUUUCUUUCAGUUUUAUACCCAAGAAAACUAUGCAUCAGAAAGCUCGAGAAGCUUGCCUAAGAUAAAACUAUCAGACGUGGUAGAGUAGGGAUUCAAAUUCACAUUUGUCUCACUUUCAACCAAAUAAAAGAAACAUACUGGUCACCACCAGUAUUUGGUCUGAUUCUCAACCAAAUAAAAGAAACAUACAAGGUCACCACCAUGCCAUUCCCAAGAGAUUGCCCUUAUGAUCCAAAUACCCCCACCAGGCCCCACCUCUAACACUGAAGUUAAAAUUUCAACAUGAGAUUUAGCGGGGACAAAUCCUGAAACUAUUACUCAGUGUCAAUGAAAUGUACUUCGAAAACACGAGGCGAUGUUUAACAUACUUACGUACACUAAUGUGUGAAUGAAAUGGUCUUUCAGUCUCUGGAAUUCCCAACUACGAUAUCCAAAUACUCUUUCUUGGUCCUUAUCUGAAGUAUCUGAUACUAUUUAUUAAUCCCUCCUUCUUGGCUACCAUAACCAGACUUGGUAUUUUCCUUCUGUUUUUUUUUUCCAUCUUUUCUUUAAUCUGAUAACCUCCCUAGCCUUUCCAGAAGGCUAUUUUUUAUUUUCCCUAAGGUUAAAUUUGCCACAUUCUUCCCUUCUCAUGAUAUAUAUUUCCUCUUAAGAACCUCAGCCAUUCCCCUAUUUCAAUUAUUAUCCAUGGGUUGAUUAUUACAAAUCGUAUCUCUAGCCUAUAUUUAUCAGUUCUAGAACUUUCAUUCUAACAACUUACUAGAAGUUCCCACCUGCAUAAACCAUAAUGACCCCAAAUUCAACAUAUUCAAAACUGAACGUAUUAUCUUCUUCUAAAUACAUCCCUGCUUCUGGAGUCCCAGUUAUAUUUAUUGGCAUUGUAAUGAUCUGUCUAGCCUUCUAAGAUACAAAUCUGAGUCAUUCUUGACUUCACAUGCUCCCCAUCAUCCAGUUAUCAAGUUCUACCAAUUCUACUUACUAAACAAACAUCUCCUGAAUGUAUUUCCUCCUGUUUAUUCCCAUUGACUACAUUUCUCAUUAAGACUAUCUAAAUAUUUUUAAGUAGUGUUCCUGCUUCUAAUCUCACUGCAAACUUCUUCACCGUUAUUAUAUUAACAUUUUUUAAAUACUGUUCAACAAAUACUUGUUAAGCACCUAUUACAUGCCAGCAGUGUGCUGGAUCCUAAGGAUGUAAUGCAAAAGAAGACACAGGAAAGUCUCUCAGAAAGUUCACAGAUUCUAAAGGAAAAAAAAAGGCAAAAUAGAAUAUCUUUUAAGAAAUAUUAAAAUAGGAGUAAGCACAGGUUUCAAAAGAUUCAGAAAGAGAAGGCAUUUAACCUAAAUAGGAAGUUGGCUUUCUUUUUUAUGUUCCCAACACUUUGCACAUAUCUCUAUUUUUGUUAUUUCAACAAAGUCAUUGUUAGAAGAGCAUAAGAGCUGUGACCAAUAACCAGAAGUAAAAAGAAUCAAACAAUAAACAGACUAGAAGAAUCCAAUCAAGUGAUAACUAAGCAUGGUCAGCAGAAUCACGUCCAUGAAAGUGACUAAAGUUAUAAUAGAUUAGAAAAUGUUAGAGAAGGGAAUAAAACCCAGGGCAUAUUGAUUACAAAAGGAACCUCAUCCUGAAGGUUAUAGACUUGGAGUUUCCUGUUGUCUUAGUGACUCCAAAAUUUCUCAGUAUUUUCACUGACACUCAGGAUAAAUCAACAGCCAUAUCUUCCUGCUCAAACUCAAAUCCCAAAUCCAGAAACAUCAGCUCACCCAAGGUGGCAACCAUGUGAUAGUCAUGAAAUGUUUGACCUAGCAAUGCUAGCUUACCUAAGGCAACAAAUAAAUCUAUUACUCUUAAUGAGUAAAUGUUUGGAAAGAUUUGGAAAUAAACACAUCAAUUAUACCACAGAUGACUCUCAUAUUGCUAAUUAUUUCAUGUUAAAUUGAGGAUAAUCUAUAUAUGUUUGUUAAAGUAUUUGUAAUAUUUUUUAAAAGACCUAUCCAAGAAUUUGAAAGAUUAAUCCUUUGGUUUCAAUUUAAAUAUAUAAUUGUGUUUAAAAUAAUCAUUUUUAAGCUGAAAGUAUGAAAGAAUUUGGUUACAUUUGCUAAUAGUGUCAAAUCCUUUUUAAACUUAAACUUGAUUUUCUAACUUUAAUUUAUUAGAAUUUAGGAACUGUUUAAAGUACUUGAGAAGGUUUUUAUUAUUAGAAUUUAUAUAUUCCCAAUUAAACAUUUGAAGUAUUAAAAAUACAUUAACUGCCGGGCACGGUGGCUCACGCCUG
rnacentral:lncRNA from 1 species